CAGCAGCCGCGGUAAUACGUAGGUGGCAAACGUUGUCCGGAAUUAUUGGGCGUAAAGGGCUCGCAGGCGGUUUCUUAAGUCUGAUGUGAAAGCCCCCGGCUCAACCGGGGAGGGUCAUUGGAAACUGGGAAACUUGAGUGCAGAAGAGGAGAGUGGAAUUCCACGUGUAGCGGUGAAAUGCGUAGAGAUGUGGAGGAACACCAGUGGCGAAGGCGACUCUCUGGUCUGUAACUGACGCUGAGGAGCGAAAGCGUGGGGAGCGAACAGGAUUAGAUACCCCCGUAGUCCCUGUCUCUUAUAA
rnacentral:rRNA from 1 species